GAUGAACGCUGGCGGCGUGCCUAAUACAUGCAAGUAGAACGCUGAAGGAAGGAGCUUGCUCUUUCCGGAUGAGUUGCGAACGGGUGAGUAACGCGUAGGUAACCUGCCUGGUAGCGGGGGAUAACUAUUGGAAACGAUAGCUAAUACCGCAUAACAGUAGAUGUUGCAUGAUAUCUACUUAAAAGGUGCAAUUGCACCACUACCAGAUGGACCUGCGUUGUAUUAGCUAGUUGGUGAGGUAACGGCUCACCAAGGCGACGAUACAUAGCCGACCUGAGAGGGUGAUCGGCCACACUGGGACUGAGACACGGCCCAGACUCCUACGGGAGGCAGCAGUAGGGAAUCUUCGGCAAUGGACGGAAGUCUGACCGAGCAACGCCGCGUGAGUGGAGAAGGUUUUCGGAUCGUAAAGCUCUGUUGUAAGAGAAGAACGAGUGUGAGAGUGGGAAGUUCACACUGUGACGGUAUCUUACCAGAAAGGGACGGCUAACUACGUG
rnacentral:rRNA from 1 species